UACGUAGGGUGCAAGCGUUAAUCGGAAUUACUGGGCGUAAAGCGUGCGCAGGCGGUGAUGUAAGACAGUUGUGAAAUCCCCGGGCUCAACCUGGGAACUGCAUCUGUGACUGCAUCGCUGGAGUGCGGCAGAGGGGGAUGGAAUUCCGCGUGUAGCAGUGAAAUGCGUAGAUAUGCGGAGGAACACCGAUGGCGAAGGCAGCCUUCUGGGCCAACACUGACGCUCAUGCACGAAAGCGUGGGGAGCAAACAGG
rnacentral:rRNA from 1 species